rnacentral:rRNA from 1 species
UACGUAGGUGGCAAGCGUUGUUCGGAAUUACUGGGCGUAAAGCGCGCGUAGGCGGCUCUUCAAGUCAGGCGUGAAAGCCCCGGGCUUAACUCGGGAACUGCGCUUGAUACUGUCGAGCUAGAGUGUGGAAGGGGCGAUUGGAAUUCCGUGUGUAGCGGUGAAAUGCGUAGAUAUACGGAGGAACACCAGAGGCGAAGGCGGAUCGCUGGGCCAACACUGACGCUGAUGUGCGAAAGCGUGGGGAUCAAACAGG